rnacentral:rRNA from 1 species
GACGAACGCUGGCGGCGUGCUUAACACAUGCAAGUCGAACGGCAAGGCCCUGCUUUUGUGGGGUGCUCGAGUGGCGAACGGGUGGGUAACAAGUGAGUAACCUGGCCUUGACUUUGGGAUAACUUCAGGAAACUGGGGCUAAUAACGGAUAGGAGCUCCUGCUGCAUGAUGGGGGUUGGAAAGGUUCGGCGGGUGGGGAUGGACUCGCGGCUUAGCAGCUUGUUGGUGGGGUAGUGGGUUACCAAGGGUUUGACGGGUAGCGGGCCUGAGAGGGUGAUAGGCGACACUGGGAGUGAGACAAGGCCAAUGGGCCUACGAGAGGGAGCAGUGGGGAAUUGUGGGCAGCGGGGGCAAACAUGACCCAGCGGUGCCGAGUGAGAGAAGGAGGCCUUGGGGUUGUAAAGCCCGUUCGGCUGGGAAGAAAUCGUACCCUCUAAUACAGAGUGUGGAUGACGGUAACAGGAUAAGAAGCACCGGCUAACUACGUG